rnacentral:rRNA from 1 species
UGCAAGUCGAACGGAAAGGCUCCUUCGGGGGUACUCGAGUGGCGAACGGGUGAGUAACACGUGGGUGAUCUGCCCCUGACUUUGGGAUAAGCCUGGGAAACUGGGUCUAAUACCGGAUAUGACCUGCCCUUGCAUGGGGGUUGGUGGAAAGCUUUUGCGGUCAGGGAUGGGCCCGCGGCCUAUCAGCUUGUUGGUGGGGUAAUGGCCUACCAAGGCGACGACGGGUAGCCGACCUGAGAGGGUGAUCGGCCACACUGGGACUGAGACACGGCCCAGACUCCUACGGGAGGCAGCAGUGGGGAAUAUUGCACAAUGGGCGCAAGCCUGAUGCAGCGACGCCGCGUGAGGGAUGACGGCUUCGGGUUGUAAACCUCUUUUAGCAGGGCCGCCGNGUAAGUGACGGUACCUGCA